rnacentral:tRNA from 1 species
GUUGGGGUGGCAGAGCCCGGUAAAUGCAAAAGACUUAAGCUCUUUAAACAGAGGUCCAAAUCCUCUCCCUAACU